rnacentral:rRNA from 1 species
GACGAACGCUGGCGGCGUGCUUAACACAUGCAAGUCGAACGGAAAGGCCCGGCGUUUGUUGGUUGCUCGAUUGGCGAACGGGUGAGUAACACGUGAGUAACCUGCCCUUGACUGUGGGAUAACUUCAGGAAACUGGGGCUAAUAUCGGAGAGGAGCUCCUGCUGCAUGGUGGGGGUUGGAAAGAUUCGGCGGUUGGGGAUGGACUCGCGGCUUAUGAGCUAGUUUGGGAGGUAGCGGCUUACCAAGGCUUCGAAGGUUAGACGACCUGAGAGGGUGACCGGCCACACUGGAACUGGGACACGGUCCAGACGCCUACGGGAAGCAGCAGGAGGGAAUCGUCCGCAAUGGGCGAAAGCUUGACGGAGCAACGCCGCGUGAGUGAUGAAGGUCUUCGGAUCGGAAAACUCUGUUAUUAGGGAAGAACAAAUGUGUAAGGAACUAUGCACGUCUUGACGGUACCUAAUCAGAAAGCCACGGCUAACUACGGG